CAAGAGAACUGAGUCAUCGGUGCAGAGGCAGCGGGGCAAAGAUGCAGCAUUGGACCGAUUGCUGCAUCCACCUUGGCAAGGCUCUGCAUCAGCCAUUUGGCCCCCCGAAAUAAGAAAACAGAGAAGUCUAUUUGUUUUUCUGCUGGUCAGUACUGAGAAAGUAUUUUGCCAUACAAGGACACGUCCAAAUAAAGAACAUCUGACACUCAGAAAGAUCACUAAUGACUCAAAAUAGUGAAGACUGAAUAAAUUAAGGAGAAUACCAUGCAGAAGCACUUGGAGAAAAUAAUUCUCUUGAACAAA